GACAGGAAGGGGUCUUUGUGAACUGACACACUUUGUAGUUUGUCAGGGACAGAAAGAGCUAGACCUAGAGCUCUGUAUACUUUGUCCACUUACUGCUAAAAUAAACUAAGAGUGUGAGACCGAAUAUUGAAAGAACACGCAGGACUCUGCUCACACAUAGGGGAAAGUAAGCUGGUAGAUUGAGCCAAAGUCCAAUAAUUUGGUGACCCUGAUGUAAUGAAGACGGAGAAGUGACGGAAAAGAGAGAAAAAUAGAAACAAUGGACAACUGACGUCUGAUGACAACAACAAGCGGCGCCACAUAAAAAGCUUUCUCCCAACAGGUUGGAUCGGAAAAGGGGGACAUACAGAGUUAGGCGCCAUCCACCAGACUGGGUCCUGCUGAAGGUGAUCAAACGGAAAUGGUCGGAGCCACGGUAGACAGGACCUUACAAGGUGGUGGAAAGGACAUCUCAUGUGGUCCGACUACAAGGGAAAGGAGACACUUGGUACCAUUGGAGCCAGCGUGCAGCCACAGAACCGCCAACGAGAACUCUACAACAACUGAGAACAGAAAAAGAAUAGAAGGGUCUUAAACUUUCAACUUUUGCAGGAAGAGGGUUCUGGAAAAAAGGGGGAGGGUUCUCAAGAUCUCCAAGGAAAGUUUUUUUUGGAGAGCAUAAGUGAGGACAGGACCAGGAUACAAGAAGAAUUUGUUUAAAACAUAUAGGAAAGUUGUGUAAAGGAUAUAAUGUCUAUCUCUGUAAGCAGCCCACAUUACCCCAGGCUGUUGGGGUUGGGAGUUUUUGCUAUUAUUUGAUGUAUGUGUCAUGCCGCUGUUAAUAGUGGUAUCAACCGCGAGGGACAAGCACACAGACGAGGGAGAAAGUCCCAGAAAUAAAAGGUCAACGGGACAAGAGGCAGACAAAUGUUUAAGGGAGGCGGGGAGCUGGGUGCACAUUAGACAUGACAAAAAGGGUGGGACAACAUACCAGUUUGACUUAUGUGAAGUAAUUAACUGUGGCCAAGAUGCAGGAAGCUGGAGGGGGUGCGAUGUAUAUCUUUGUGUGCAUUCCAAUUACUAUAGGUGGUGCCCGACGUGGAAUCAUGUACUAACAUGGACUGGGGUAAAAUGGACACCCAAGCGGCUGCCAUCCUCAGAUGAUAAAUGGAAGGUUCGAGACCAUGUGAGUCUGAUUAGGGGCAACUCAAUCAUUCCUCAGAGCUAAAAAAUCCACUCUUGUUAACCCUGACAAGAUUCGACACUAACCCUGGUCCCAAAGAGGUACAGAUUUACUGUGGGAGUGAUGACAGAAGCUUUUAUUUUGUAAUAGGUGUAGAUCAAUCUGGAGUGGAUACCCUGGGACUAGUGAAGGUAACCUUAGUGGACCCUCCCACAAACCAAAAACACAACAAACAUGGUGGUAGAACCAAGUUCAGGAGUUGUGGUAAUAGACUACAACAACCUCACGAGAGGGGACAUUAUUAAAUUAGCCACCACGUAUGGGGAUAAGAACGUACAGCUGGACUGGAUGACAGCGACCGCAACCUCAAUGAAUGAGUAAUUGCGUCGCGUGUUCCUUUGCCAGGCCAACCCUAUUUACCACCCCAGUCCCAUUGUUCCCUAAUGUAGACCCAGCAGGAUUUCACUGCAUGAUGACCCUCACCAUGCAGGCGGACCCUCCAAAUUGUACCGCCUUAAUUGCUAUUUUCCCACCUGUAAAGAAUUCCACGUUACCUCCAGUGUUUACCCCAAGGGCCAACAAUUAUACUUGUUUCGCUCGAAGAUCUAAUACAAUCUUGGGAGACAUGCCCGCUGACUGGUGUCAGGACACGAUUAAUGUAACCGGCUGGCAGAAUGCUAGCACAAUGGUUUGGGCCAGAGCUGAUCGUUUUUGGUACUGUGGAGAUAGAACACUACAGAUUAGUCUCCCUCCAGAUUGGUCUGGAACCUGUGCAAUGGUCAGGCUAGGGGUACCCUCAACACUCUUAGGAGAAAGACGACAGGAAAUAGAUCCGCAUGCACGAAUACGCAGGGAUUUGUUUGAUAUCACAUCUGGCUCAACCACGUACAUAGAUGCAAUUGGUAUUCCCCACGGCGUACCUGAUGAAUAUAAGUUGGCAGAGCGGGUAGCAGCAGGAUUUGAGAAUCUCCCAAUUGUUAGUGCUCUAUUCCCAGUCACGCAGAAUAAAAUGUCGACCGAAUUAAUUAUGUACAUCACAAUGUACUCAGGCUAGCCAACAGAACUAGAGACGCGGUGGCGGGACUCUCUGAACAACUGACAGUACAAAAUAGAAUGGCCUUAGAAAUGUUGUUAGCAGAAAAGGGAGUGUGCUCUAUGUUCGGAGGUCAAUGUUGUACGUUCAUCCCCAACAAUACAGCACCUGAUGGCAUGGUAACCAGAGCCCUGGAAGGACUAAGAACCUUGUCUGAAGAAAUGCAUGAACAUUCAGGUAUUAACAACCCUCUAGGAGGCAUUUUUGAUUCCUGGGUAGGGAAAUGGAAAGGAUUAAUUGUGUCUGUGUUUAUGUCCCUCACCGGUAUGACCAUUGUGUUUGUGUUGUGUGGAUGUUGUUGUAUCCCCUGUAUCAGAUCUUUGUUGAACAGGGCAAUUAUUACAGCAAUUGAAGGGAAGGCUCCACCACCCUACCAGAUGUCACAGAUGGAGGCGGAAACCAUGGCUCUGGCAAGAGGGAAGGACUAUGCGUCGGAGAGUGAAUGUGAUACAUAAAACUGGUUUGUUGGUCUCAUUUUCAUGAGACCAAAAGGGGGACUUGUAAAUAUAUGGCUUAGUACGAAGCGUUCAGAAGCAUUUAAAUGAUAUAUUUGUUUCAGUCACUUAUUAUACAAUGUGACGCUUAACUAUUAACUAACACAGUGGGUUGUGUAACCUUUAUUGUAUAAAAAAACUGAGUCCGAGACAGGAAGGGGUAUUACUUUGCGAACUGACACACUUUGUAGUUUGUCACGGACAGCAAGAUCUAGACCCAGAGCUCUGUAUACUUUGUCCACUUACUACUAAAAUAAAGUAAGAGUGUGAGACCGAA